rnacentral:ribozyme from 13 species
UUUCUUGUUUUUUUUUUUUUUUUUUUUUUUUUUCGCAAAAAAAUUGGUGUAGCUUUCUACAAUUACAAA